rnacentral:lncRNA from 1 species
UUUUUUUUUUCUUUUUUCUUUUUUUUUCUAUUUAGGCAAUACUUAUGUAAUAUGGUUGGGAGAGUGUGCUUAUUGGAAGGUAUAUCAUGUCAGACUAGUGAUGGUUUAGAAUAUAUUAAAGAAAUACAACACUGAAGCAAACUGAAGAAUUUGAGUAGUGUGGUCCCAUUUGCAAACAAAUAUAAAAACUCCCUUAAAUGUGUAUAUGUUCGCAUAUGCAAAGAAAAAAGGCCUGGAAGAAUAUACAUUAACAUUUUAAUAACAAUUACUUCUUAGGAGUGGAACUGAGUAUGGAGAAUGAAGUACAGACAGGAACUUCUUCAUGAAUUUCUGUAUUUGAAUUUUGUUAUAAGCAUAUUAUUACUUUGUAAUAAGAAACAAUAAAGGAACAGAAAUAAAACACCAGGAGUUCCCACUGUGGCUCAAUGGGUUAAGGAUCUGGCUAGUAGCCAUAAGGAUCUGGAUUCGUUUCUGCUGCGCCAUGAUGGGAACUCCUCUAAGGGUAAGUUAAAAAUAUUUUCUGCAGUCUUUAGAUGCAUUACUCCUCUUUUCUCAUUCCCAGAGAGUGUCUCCUUGAUUUCCAGAAGCCUAGAGAUCAUUUAAAUCACAGCGAUGGAAGAGCCUGUUUUUACUGAUGCAGGGACUCUUUGGGACUUAACUCUAGAAAGAAUAUUUCUCAAGGAUGGCACCAAGCACUCUUUUGCCAGACAUGUUACAGAGUCAAUAAAGUCUCAUUGAAAUCUCACAUUUUCUGCCUUAGCACAUAUUUACACUGUUUCCCUUUCUAUGUUUGCAUAUUUCAGAUUCUACCUUGACCCAUCCAUGGUAUGACUCUUUCAGACUCCUCAAUGGCUUUGGACAAAGCAGAUUUUCACAAAAACUUCUAUGCUUAUUAUUUUUUCAAGGAAAUAACAUGUGGAGAUAACCAGCACUAUGCCUGGUAUCAGUAGGUACUCAGUAAACGUUUGCUGAAUGGAAAAACUAAAACAAUGUCAAAACUGAAGCUCAAUUACUAAAACUUACAAUCAAGGAAGAAGAUUUCAUUUAUUUAUUUAUUUUUCUUUUUACAGACACACCUGCGGCACAAGGAAGUUCCUAGGCUAGGAGUUGAAUCGGAGCUGCAGCUGUAGGCCUAUUCCGCAGCUAUGGCAAUACCAGAUCUGAGCUGCAUCUGUGACCCACACCACAACUUGUGGCAACCCCAGAUCCUUAACCCAAUGAGUGAGGCCAGGGAUUGAAUUUUCAUCCUCAUGGACACUAUGCCACCUGCUGAUCCACAAGGGUAACUCCAAAGAUCUCAUUCAAAUGAUUAAUUAGAAUAUAAACUUAGAUAUAAACAAAGUUCUCAAAAUGCUUAAUUAUUUUCUUUUCACUGAGAAUACAAACUAGCUGUCAUUCCAUGUUUAGUCAUAGAAUGCAUACAUGUGUCACACACACAGAGGACUAAAGAGUGAAAGCAGAUUAAAUCAAUAUACUGAAGGCAUAUUAUUAUUAUUACUAUUAUUAUUAUCUUUUCUAGGGCUGCACCCAUGACAUAUAGAGGUUCCCAGGCUAGGGGUUGAAUCAGAACUACAGCUGCCGGCCUACACCACAACCACAGCAAUGCAGGAUCCGAGCCCCAGUCUGCGACCUACACCAUAGCUCACAGCAACGUCAGAUCCCCAACCCACUGAGCGAGGCCAGGGGUCAAACCCACAACCUCAUGGUUCCUAGUCGAAUUUGUUAACAACUGAGCCACGAUGGGAAUUCCGUGAUUGGUAGUUUCUGCUUAAUCCUUUACUACUCUAUAAAGCCUUUCUUUCUUACAUUGCUCAAAGUGAAGGGAAAAGAAUUAAUGGCAAUCUAAGUGAUAUAUAUAUGUAGCAAUCCAAGACUCUGAUUACUUGUAAUACUUACUAGAUUUUUACUCUCUAGAAAGAUCUGAAUUGGGCCUAGCCCAGCAGUAAUAAUAAUAACAGCUAUCAAACAGUGAUAUCUUAGCAUGUGCCAGCCACUAUGCUAAGUACUUUACAUAUCUUGUUGUAGUUAACACUCACAAUGACCUUAUAAAUUAGGAAUUAUUCUCAUUUAAUAGUUGAGAAGACAGAGGAACACAUCAGUUAAAUGACUUGUUUUGAACUCUCUCAAUAUUAUGCCUCUCAAACUCCCCUUACACCACACAGAGGGAAACAUUACAGGUGUGCAGUCUAGGACUCAUCCUAUAGGCAAAAUAAAUUAUAGAAGAUAAAAUAAGAAUAUAGAACAUUACAGAUUUUAGGAGAUUUUGUUUCUGAUUUUAAGGAGCUCAUUCUCCCUCCCAUCCUUCUAAGAGGGUCAAGGAAAUAUUUCAGUGAAGAAAUAGGAAUAAAGGGGUUCAGUGUGACCCUGGGAUCAGACUGCAAUUCAGGGCCAGAUUUAGGGCUGAGAUUCAAGCUAAAGUGGUAGUUAACUCUUCUCUCCCUCUUAGAGGACCCCAAUCCUGCUCUGACUUCCCAUCUCUUCAUUUCUACCCAAUCUCCCCAUGGUUGUACUAUGAACUCCAGAGGUACCACAGAGAUCCCAGUCUGAUUUUCUCUAGGAAACAAUGGAACACAGCUUGGGGGACUUGCCUUGGAGCUUAUGCAAUCUGGGGUUUUAGAGAAUUUGGGUUGAAUCCCAGAACAAGAAAAAAAAAUUCCAUUUCCAGUUAUGAAAGAAAAUCCUUAGGGAUUUUAUAAUAUCUUAGGGACAACUGCAAUGAGGUGCCAUCUAUCUGAGGCACAGACCAUUUGACAGACUUCCACCACAGACAUAUCCUUUUUUUUUGCAGAACUAACUGGCUCAUAAAUUGUUGGAAGAUUCAGUGCUGCAUAAAAAAUAAUAGGAACAAAUACUACCACUGGGUUUCAUGAGUGUUAUGAACUUUUGAACUUAUUAGAGAUGCCAGAAGGCACUGUGGUUUAACAGUACUGUUUACUACUUGAAUUUCUAUAGUAGUUGCACAUGAGACAGAAUUAGCCUCAAGUAGUUUUGCCUGGUUGUUGACUUUCUUUGUUACCUACUUAACACAUCUUCUGAUUCCCUAGACUGUGUUAGGGCUCACUAAUAUACAUUCUCACAGCAAUAUGUACUUUUCUUUUAAUUUAUUUUAUUUUAUUUUAUUUUUUGUCUUUUUGCUAUUUCU